UUUGAAUGUGUAAAAAAACAUGGCAUGCUGGCUUCCUCCUGGUGGACAAAUUCCAUAGAUAGAGAACAGACAAUGUUGACAAUGACCCAAAACACACCACCGCCCGGGUUUGCAUUGCAAAUGAAGCCAUAACCUUGGUCAAGACACCAGUACAGUCUCCUGAUUUAACCGCGAUCUAACUUGUUUGGAAUCAAGUGGAAACCUUCAUCCGUAACUCUGCCAAGCCUACAAGAAAAGAUGAACUGGUCAAGGCCAUCAAGAUGUUUUGGCUGGAGAAAUUGAAGAUACUACAAUGCAACAAAUACAUUGAACAUCUCAGCAAGGUUUUACCCAUGGUAGUGGAGCUUGGUGGAAGGAAGUGCAAUUCAAAUGUAGUUUAAAUAACCAUCUGAAUAUUGAAUGUAUUUUUUCUAGUUAUUUUAUUAACAAAAGCAUAUAGAUGUUGAUGACGAAAUACUGUACUGCUGUUUUGAGUUAUAAAUGUAACACUUUAGAGUACUUAAGCAUCGAACACAUAGCAAGUAGGGGAUAUUCACAUCUACAGUAACUGGGCUAUAAAGAGUCUAUUGUCCUGCUAAUUGGGCUACAAGUGCAUGAAAACAUGUUUUCAAAAUGCCAUCAGCUGUCCAUCACUACUGUAAAUAAAAACACAGCAUCU